UGUCACCAGUGUUGUGGGACCACCAACUGCCCUUGGGACAUUUGUUCAGUGUCUACAGGUCACAUCCACAGCCAUGUUGCAACUACUGAGGAUUCACCAAUCCCACCCUCCCUCACCAAGCAGGAGCAGCAGAUAAACAAGGUGGAGAAACUGAUCCUUCAGCUUCAGAGGAUGACCAAAGAGAGGAAUGAACUGUGUGUAAUCCUGGCCCAUUAUAGCAACAGUGAUUUGAACAACAUGUAGUCAUUAGGCCCAUUUCUCUGGUGACUAUCUUGACCCCAUAUGUCUUCCCCAGAAUUACACAGGUCACAGGAUGCUGCACCUCCAGGGUAUCCUCAUGCCCAAACAGAUUUUCCUAAGUGCAUCUGAGAGGCAGAAAUGAAGCCUGUACAAGAGUGAGAUAGGGACAUAGGCUGUUCUGCUUCCUCCAAACGAAAAUCAGAGUCUGUAGCCUGAAUCACAGUCUGGGGGAAGGGGCAGUAGUGUGUGAGCUCUCAACAUGCAUCUCAAAAGGCCUCAACAAGUGUUGGCUUGUGGGAGAUGCUAUGUCUGGGAGUUUAUACUGAGUCUUUUAUACUUGACCAGCAGGUGCUUGGGUGCUGGUUGUUCCUGGCAGCCAUGGGAAGGGCCUGGUCCUACUUGGCACAUCUCAAGUGUGUGACUUGAAGGCCUAGAGUUCAUCACUGCUCCUCUCUGGUCUUAUUUCUUAUACUCUGAAACAAUGCCACCUCCAUACAUUUUGUGGGCACCCUAAUAGUAUGUUGUGUGUGUGUGUGUGUGUGUGUGUGUGUGUGUGUGUGUGUGUGUGUGUGUGUGUGAUGCUCCAGAUCUUGGGAACCAAGGGUCUGUGGCGGGGCAUGAGGAUUUGCCUGCCUCACAGGUUCCAGUUGAUUCCAGUGCUGAGGGCAGGGAGCCCCAAUUUGAGCAGAAGUGCUCUUGGUCCUUGUGCUGACCUUGGAGACAUAUUGGAGUCUUCUGGGGAGUUUAUAAAGCCAUCCUGCUGUUGGGUCUCCUCCCUGGAAACACUGAUUAUGUGCUCUUGGCAUCUGUGUAGCAAAGACAAAGACAAAGAAUCCGUGUCCUAAAGACAGGAGAAACAUCACAGAUUUCAGAUGGGAUCAGGUCUGUGUCAAAGGCUUAUGGGAACUUCUUAGAGAGCUAGUCUAUUCCUCCAGGCCAGUUGAAGGUGCUCACGCAGCCCUGGCUCCCUCCCUUUAGACACCUUGCCUCUGCUGGCCUGGGGCCAGCAUAGUGAGUCCAAUAAGCACCAGGAGGUCCCUGGGAUUAGGAGCCAGGAUAUGGCAUCCACUGGACUGAUAUGUUCCAAGACAUAGCCUGAAUUCAUGUGAUCCUUGAGUCCUGUAUUCAUGGGGUUCUUUGCUCCUGGGGCCACGCCCUACCACAGGAUGAAUGAGUUAGGGAAGUUGAAGACGGAGCAUAAGCAGGUGAUAUUGGACCUGCACAAGUUGUCCAAGGAGACUAAUGAGGCCUUGGACAAGUGUAAGGAGCUGACUGAGAUCAACUCCUACAGGACCAAUUUACUUCAGAGAAGAGGAUGGGUAUUGAAGACAUUCCAUGUGGAGUUUAUCUUCUUCUUGGCAAAAGUAGCCAUUUGGUCAAGAAAGUGUUCUUGCCUGGACUGCUUGACAAAAUGUUGUAUCGACUGGACAUGCAGGACCCAUAGGAAGGUGACCACUGAACUUUGCAAGGCGAGAUGGUCUUUCAGGUUCCUGCUUCUCAGAAGAGACUGCCAGAUAUUCUACAGGACACAGGGAAAAGUGAAUGAGAGACUAGGCCUAUGGGCUGAAGAAUGGAUGCCCCAACACUGCAGAGGAACUUUGAUGACUGUCCAGGCAGGCAGCUGUCUCUGUCUUUUCCAGAGUUUUGGAAGUUUCUUACAAUGUUCUUCCUGUUUUCUUAGGUACUAUUAUAUCCUUCUGAGAUUUUUGAUGUAUUUGAAACCUAGAUAGUUAUAAUAUGGUUUUCAUUGGUUAUGAUAAGAGACAAGGUAGAUAUGAAAUUUUGGACUCACAAAUAUAGGAUAGAUAAAAUAUUUUCUUUAAUUUUACAAAAUACAAAUAGACUAGAUACUAUAAUUGUAAUUCUUGCUUGAUAUAUGUAAUUUUACUAGGUUAAAGUUAAAACCUUCCUUUUGUUUGGACAGAAAAGGGGAAGUGAUGGGAGAAUGUCUUUCUGUAUGCUGUGAAUAUGUGUUGCUCUGAUUGGUUGAUAAGUAAAGCAGUUUGGCCUAUGACAAGGCAGCUUAGAGGCAGGUGGCAAAUUCAAAGGGAGUGACAGGAAGAAGGCUAAGAGAGAUGCCAGCCCACCCACCAUCCAAGAAGCAGCAUGUAAUGGCACACAGGUAAAGUCAUGGAACAUGUGGUGACAUAUAGAUUAAGAGAAAUGGGCUGAGUUUAAAUGUAAGAGCUAGUCAGUGGUAGGCCUCACCAAUGGCCAAGCAGUUUUUUUUAAAUACAUUUUUUAUUAAGAGAUUUUUCUAUUCAUUUUGCAUACCAACCACAGAUUACUCUGUCCUCCCUCCUCUCGCUCCCCCAGCCUUACCCCCCACCCCAACCCCCAUUCCCACCUCCUCCAAGGCAAGGUUUCCUCCCAUGAGGAGUCAGCAGAGCCUGGUACAUUCAGUUGUGGCAGGUCCAAGCCCCUCCUCCCUGCACUAAGGCUGCACAAAGUGUCUCACCAUAGGCACUAGGUUCCAAAAAGCUGGCUCAUGCACUAGGGACAGGUCCCGAUCCCACUGCCUGGGGCCCCCCUAUACUGACCAAACAGUUUUAAUUAGUAUAAGCCUCUGCUUGUUUGCUUGAGUCUGAGUGGCUGUGGACCAGGCAGGACACAGGAAAACUUCAGCUACAUGUAACAUAGCUCAUCCUUGGCCUUGGGAGGGCUUGACUUACAAAGCACCAAAGAAACAUGACUACGCUUGUCAUGAUAGGCUAUUACAGCCUAUGACUGCCUUUCUACCCUAUGUCCCACGCCAGCUCCAGGGUAUAGAUAGAUCUUUGCUGCUAAAUUUAAAGCAAGAGAAUAUUGCUUAGCUUAAUUUUUUUGGUGAGGGUUUUAGCUUGUGUUUCAUUUGCUUUGGUUUUUGGUUUUCUUUGUUUUAGUUUGAGGUUUUCUUAUUUAUUUGUUCUUUCUUUCGUUCUUGUCAUUGAAUUGAUAUUUUGCUGAUUCUGUACACUAUAUAUAAUGACUGUCAUUAUAAGCUCCAUUGAGUAAAAUGACUGUAUUUUUAUGAAUAUAAAAGCAAUUUCCCACUCUUC